GCUUCGCGUUCGAAUUGCUCUCGGGUGGCACUGCUGAUGAAACUGUCUUCCAAGGAGUUCUCAUCAGGUCUUUCCGUUGUAAAGAAUUCAUAAUUUUCAGCACUGCGUGGCACACGUAUUAUGCUGGCUAAAGUGAGGUGCUACAUUGUGGGGAAUACCACAGAAAAGAGCAGCAACCGCACCAGUACGCCAACCAAAAAUACCAAGCACUCACACCAUUACACACUUGACUGCCUGUCAAACUCACUCCACGGGUGCCUGUCAGAAAAUAGGAACAGAACAGGUUUUUAACUUGUAUUUUUGUACAAUGUUCAGGCCAUAGAUAACUAGAUGGGAAACGGAAAAAACAGUGAUGAAUCGUGAAGCGUUUUCCACGAUUUCAGAUUUACGAUGCUCUGUAUUUGAGGGCUGACAAUGGAAUAAAUCGAAUACUAUAAAAAAAUGAAAAAUAUGCUUAAGCUCGGACGCUUACAAUUUAAUGAAAAUGUACUGCUUUUUCGCUUCUACGAUGUUAAGAUCACCUGUCAUGUGAUUUUCUGAGAUAACAGGUAGAAAUGCAAUGAGCGAAGAGAGUUUGAAAAAAAAAAAUGCUUAUAUAAGUUAAUAAUUGAGCAGCCAAGGCGAAUAGAAUCUAAGAGGGUAUCCUAUCAUUCCUGUUGGACAGCAACAAUGCAUAAGCGAAGGGGCAAAGAUAGUGGGGAUAAGUAAGCACGCGGUUCAACGAAGACAACAAAUAAGUCAGCGACAACAACAACUGCAGUGAUGAAAGAGCGUGCAUACAAAUUCGACAAUUGCGCCGUAAAAUUGGAAGUACAGGUACGGCGACGCUGAAUUAGUAAGGAGGGGUGUGAACAGACAUUAACUGGAUGCUUUAAAAAACAAUUGGGAAUUUCGCAAUUUCCACAUCAGCACAAAAAAAGGGCAAUCAGUAUAAAAUACGUAUAGUAAAUAAGCAAAAAUUCAAUAAUUAAGAUUUAAAUGAAAUUGCCAAACAUUCAAAGACAAAAUUAAGGAAGGCGAAAAACGUAAUUAUAAAGAUAUGUUAAAAAUAUUCCAAUUUUUGAAUAUAACAAAAAAGUAGAUAACAAAAACUAAUUUGUAAAAUACCAAGUAAAUUAACAAGGAUAACUUUUAAUUCUUGA